UAAUCUCUCAUUGUUUUCUUCAUCUUCAUCUUUCAUCUUCUCAUAAUCUGCUGCAUAUCUUUCUGCUUGCAUAUACACAUCUAUAUCUUUCCUUGGUUUUUGAAGAGCUUUCAAACAUGAGUUCAAGUCAGCUUCCUACUUCUGCACAAGGCCCUUAUGUAGUGGCUCCACCACCGGUUGGGUAUCCUACAAAAGAUGCUUCCGCCUACUCUCAGACUCAGAAUCCUCCUCCUCCGGUGGAAACCAAGUCUAGGGGCGAUGGCUUCUGGAAGGGAUGUUGUGCUGCCUUGUGUUGCUGCUGUGUACUGGACGCAUGCUUCUGAUGACCAGGAUCCAUACAAUUCCGGAGACUAUUCUUAUUGUUUUUCAUACACCAUUUGGAUUGAUUCUUUCGAUGUGAAAGUGGACCAUGUGAUUGGCUUCACUUCAUUUUCCUAUUGUUUUGUUCUUUUUAUCACCCUUGUUAUUAUUAUUACGUAGAUAAUCAAAUUGGUUUACUGCUUGGUUUAGAU